rnacentral:misc_RNA from 1 species
AGAGAGGCAGAUUGGUCAGUUAGCCUCAUCUGUGAGUAAGCUGGAAGCUCAAGGUUCUGGAAAGCUUCCAUCACAAACAGUCAUGAAUCCCAGAGAAAAUGCAAGUGCUAUAGUGUUGCAGAGUGGGAAAGAGUUGAUAACCAGACUCCACAUGAGUCAAUGAAAAAGAAGAAGCAAGGAGCAAAAGAGUCUGAAGUUCCUGAAGUUGAGGUAAAUACUGAACCUAAACUGAAUAAGGUUAAUAAUUCUGUUCUUCCUCCAUUCCCAUGCAGGUUGGCUAAAAAUAAGAAAGAAGAACAAGAGAAAGAAAUUUUGGAGACUUUCAAAAAGGUGGAGGUGAAUAUACCUUUACUUGAUGCGAUCAAACAAGUUCCUAGGUAUGCUAAAUUCCUUAAGGAAUUAUGCACUACAAAGCGCAUGUUGAGGAAUAAUGAGAAGAUCAGUGUGAAGAAAAAUGUGUUAGCAUUAAUUCAAUAAAAAUUACCCCCUAAGUGUAAGGAUCCAGGUUUAUUUUCUAUCCCCUGCAAAAUAGGUAAUUCUAAAUUUGAACGUGCAAUGGCAGAUUUAGGAGCAUCUAUUAAUGUUAUGUCAAAUUCAGUUUUUCAAACUUUAAAUUUGAGUCCUUUGAAAAAAACCAGUGUCAUUAUUCAGUUAGCUGAUCGUUCGAAUGCUUACCCAUUAGGAGUAGUUGAGGAUGUGUUGGUGCAGGUUAGAGAAUUGAUUUUUCUUGCAGACUUUUACAUUCUAGAUAUGGAGGAUAGUGUUCCCACAUCAAAGUCAGCUUUGAUUUUGUUUGGAAGACUUUUCCUCAAAACUGCCAAGACAAAAAUUGAUGUGGAUGAUGAUACCUUAAUUAUGGAAUUUGAUGGAGAGACUGUCAAAUUUAAUAUCUUUAAUGCUAUGAAGUAUCCUGCUGAUGACCAUUCUGUUUUUUCUAUUGAUGUUGUUGAUACAUUUGUGUAGGAUGUUUUUGAGUUAAGCAUGGAUGAUGAGUUAGAAGUGGUGAUUAGUCAAGGAAUUCAAGAAAUCAGUACCAAUCAGCCAUUAAGUGUAGAGGUUUAAGAUGCAGUAAUAGCAUUGCAGUCAUUACCUCUUGUUCCAAAAAGGUAUGGAGUAUCAAAGAUUGACUUACCUGUAUCUCACACAAAAUUAUUACCUUCUGUGGUGCAGACACCAGUUCUUGAACUCAAGCCUUUACCUGAGCAUUUGAAGUAUGUUUACUUGGGAGACAGUGAGACACUUCCAGUUAUCAUCUCAAGUAAUUUAACAAAAAUUGAAGAAGACAGAUUGACUAGGGUUCUGAGACUACACAAGGAAGCAAUUGAAUGGACAGUAGCUGACAUCAAAGGUAUAAGUCCAUCAGUGUGCAUGCACAGGAUUUUACUGGAGGAUGAGGCUAAACCAAGUAGAGAAGCUCAAAGGAGGUUGAACCCACAGAUGAUAGAGGUUGUGAAGAAGGAGAUUUUAAAGCUACUAGAUGCAGGAGUUAUUUACCCAAUUUCAGAUAGCAAAUGGGUAAGUCCAGUCCAAGUAGUGCCAAAAAAAUCAGGAGUCAUUGUGGUAGCAAAUCAAGAUAAUGAACUUGUUCCAACAAGGAUUCAUAGUGGAUGGCGAAUGUGCAUAGACUACCGCAAGCUGAAUUCAACAACAAGGAAGGACCACUUCCCACUGCCAUUCAUUGAUCAGAUGCUUGAGCAGUUAGCAGCGUUGAAGUAUCUCUUGGCAAAGAAGGAAGCAAAACCAAGGUUGAUUAGAUGGAUCCUUCUGCUGCAAGAAUUUGAUCUUCAAAUCAAGAAUAAAAAAAGAGCUGAGAACCUGGUAGCAGAUCAUUUGAGUAGGUUAGUGACACAAGAAGAGCCAAUUCCUUUGCAGGAAUUUUUUCCUGAUGAGCAGUUAUUUAAAUUGCAAGGUAUGAUCCAUUGGUAUGCUGAUUUGGCUAAUUAUUUGGUUACUAAGGUUGUGCCUUUUGAUUUGAGUAGAGCUAAGAAAGAGAAAUUGAAAAGUUAGGCUAAGUAUUAUGUGUGGGAUGACCAGUAUUUGUGAAAAUUUUGUUCCGAUCAAAUUAUUAGGAGAUGUGUUCCUGAUAAUGAGAUUCAAUAUAUUCUUACUUUUUGUCAUGCCUAUACAUGUGGAGGUCAUUUUGGACCCAAGAGAACAAGUCGAAAAAUAUUAGAUUGUAGUUUUUACUGGCCCACUAUAUUUCGUGAUUCAUAUUUGAUUUGCAAAACUUGUGAACAACGUUAAUGAACAGGAAGUUUAACCCGUAAGAAUGAGAUGAUUCAGAAUCCAAUACUUGUUUAUGAGAUUUUUUACGUGUGAGGUAUUGAUUUUAUGGGUCCAUUUUUCUUCUUCUUUUGGCUUUGUUUAUAUAUUACUUGUUAUUGAUUAUGUCUCGAAAUUGGUGGAAGCCAAAGCCACCAGGACUGAUGAUUCUAAAGCUGUUGUACGUUUUAUCAAGUCACACAUUUUUAGCAGGUUUGGAGUUCCUAGAGCUUUGAUCAGUGACAGGGGCAUACAUUUUU